AAACUUUAAAAUAUAGCUUCUAACUAUAAUCAAGUGGAAUUCCCACUAAAGUUU
rnacentral:tRNA from 1 species